GCAUUGUAUGAAAGAGGAGAAGGUUUGCAUUCCCCUUAACAAGGAUGGAAGAGAAGAGGCCCUUGGGCCUGAUAACAUACAUAUGGUUAAGGCAUUGCCACCUACUUCAUGGCAUCUAUCCACUGUUUUAU
ensembl:snRNA